AAAAAUGAUGGAUGAAAAACGCGAGGAGCGGGGUCUGAAGUCUUUUGUUGGUCACACACACAUGCAUCUACCGUUGGAUUGCGUUGAACCGAGUCUACCCAUCUCUCUCGUUCUACCAUGAUUGUUCUGCUAUCGCACUCAUUCGGGUGUUAGGCAUUCUCAGUCUGUCCAGAACUUUCGUUGUGGAAGGAUGUGCGGGAGUGAUGUGCGAUUUCUUGUGUCCCCUACUUUCCAUGUUUACGUUUUGCGCAGUGUUGCUUCUUAUUCCAUUGUGGAAUGUUUUAUCCUAGUUAACUUGUUGAGGUGCAUGCGCCAUUCAUCAACGCCUACCUGUUGGCAUCAUCAACAAUCUUCAAAAUUUUGACGGAAAGAAAUUGUUUUCCAGUUUUAAAAUAUUAAGCGUUCAGCACAACUCAGCCACAAAACAACGCACUGGAUUACGCUUAGAACCUGUCAAAACGCGCGCAGCCCCCGGGCGCGGUAGGAGAAAGGAAAAACGAGAGGAGGAGAAACUAAAGCCAGCGCUCAGCUCUGAUGGUACCCCGGACGCGGUAAGGAGAAAAAAGAUCGAGAGGAGGAAGAACGGUAAAUUUGGAAGGGGGAGACCGUUCUGCCGUCUACAAAGUGUGAGUAUGCCAAAGCACGUGUUGGAACGGAGAGAAAAUGUGUGGAAUAAACUGCAUGCGAAUGUGUGCAUACACCAAAUGUAAACAUGUGUGCCACAUCAUUUCUAUGAGCAAUCCGAAAAGGGGGUGGAGCAAACACAUUGGUAUGCAUGAGGUGCAGAAAAAAUCAGAGCGUGAUAGUAUGUGUGAACGCGAUCGUUCGGGUGGAAGGUGUCUAUGUGUGCGUGAAACCACAUUUCCACUUCUACUGCAAGUGGGUACGUAAGUGGGUACAUAUGUGUACGAGACGAUCCCAUACAAAACUUCGGCUUUUUGCGGACUGGGAGAGUUUUUGGUGAUCUCGCGCUCUUUCGAUCUUAAAUAAAAUCACACACAUACAAGUAUACCUUACACGUGCUUUUAUUGUUAACAGCACAAGCGGGAUUAGUAUUGAUGAGCAGUAAUGAGCUGUUAUUAGUAUUGAAAGCUAAACUGUAUUACUACAUGAAUAUUAGUGAGUUAGUAUUGGUACAUGCAAGCAGCAUUUGUAUCCAAGCAGUUCAAUUGUAAACUUAUUUUGUGUGAUGCAGUUGAAAAGUCAAAAUGCAAAGUAGCUUGAAAGAAAAUCCACCACCGUUAAUAUUUUUU